GAACAAUGUGGUACAAAGUCAGAACAAUCUGGAACAACUUUCAAAAUUAUAAAUUUCAAAAAGUGGGGUGCUAACUUCAUACACUUAUCGGCGACGCCAUUGGAAUUUACGCAAUUUGACACGUCAACCAAUUAUACACAGCACGCUUCCGCAAAUUCGUAAACACAAUACAGGAAUUGUUGAUUGUAACAUGACGUAAGUUCACAAUGGCGGUCUCAAGUGUGAGAUCCGGAGUAUAAAUAUGCGCUAUAGAAAAUCUCAGAUUCAGUGUGUGCGCGGAUCGGUUUUCGAUUUUACACGAAGUAACUCGCUCUUGCGAAACAUUAAUUGAACAGCAUGAAGAGAUUCGCAUUUCUUAUUCUCGUCUUAUCCGUUGCCGUUAUUGCCGAAAACAAAAAAAACUUAAAAUAUAACAGACUCUUACAGAUAUGUUUACACAAAGCGCAUAUGAUAGAAGCGGAAGUACAGUUUGCACAGAAAAUUCUCAUGAGGAUACCAGACGACAACAUCAUCGAUAACAGUAUGGAAAUUCUCAAAAAAUACGGUUAUUUCGCAGCUUGCAUAGAGGAAGAUAAAGGAAUGAUAAAAGACUCGAAAUUGGUCGUGGACAAAAUAAUGGCAGCCAUAGAGAGGAAUAUUGGCGAUUAUCCCGUUAACAAGGACUUCGUGAAGGAAUGCGUAAACGCGUUAAACGAAGACAGCGAAUUGACUCGAGAGGAGAGAGCGACGGAUAUGGAAAGGUGUAUGAUAGCCGGUUAUAGACAAGGACAAAAAGAAGUGAUUGCUGAAGAUAUGAACAGCUUACUGCAUAGAUGUGGACCCAUCAUACAUUGUUUAUACAAGCGGAUAUGACAGUAGAUAAGUCGCUCGUGAAAAUCAAGCGAAUUACAAACACGAGAACUAAUUGAAAAUGCAUGUAACAUUCCAUGUAAAAAGUACGCGCGUACUGGAAUAUAUAUUAGAUAAUCAAAAAGGUCUUCUCCACGAUAGAGGAAAUGGAUUUUGCUCAGGAAUAUCUCAUGGAGAACCAAGACGACGACAUCGAUAAUAAAACUGAGGAACUUCUCGAGAAAUACGAUUACUACGCAGCCUGCGUAGAGGAAAGCUUGGAAAUAGUUAUUGCCGAUGACAAGAACAGCCUAAAAUAUAACAGACUCUUACAGAUAUGUUUACACAAAGCGCAUAUGAUAGGAGCAGAAAUACAGUUUGCACAGAAAAUUCUCAUGAGAAUAUGACAACAUCAUCGAUAAUACUAAGGAAAUUCUCAAGAAAUACGGUUACUUCGCAGUUUGCGUAGAGGAAGAUAAACGAAUGAUAAAAGACUCGAAAUUGGUCGUGGGCAAAAUAAUGGCAGACAUAGAGAGGAAUAUUGGCGAUUACCCCGUUAACAAGGACUUCGUAAAGGAAUGCGUAAACGCGUAUGAGUAAACCCAAAGCGGGGCAAUAAUAAUUUUAAUCAUUUUCGUGUCUCUUCAUCUAACAUUCCUUUUCAGUUUACUUUAGACAUCCAAUAUUAAUACGUGGUGUUCACGGUUUAUUUUAGAAUUCUGUCCACAAUACAAACCCUUCAAAGACCUAUUUUCUAUAUAAUUUACAUAUCAAAACAAAAUCGCCUCGCUUGCGAAUUUUUCUUCAUGAUAACUUUUGAAGUAUCAUCAUUGCUAGAAAAUUUUUUGUCACAAUUUAGAUUUUUCGUAGAGUAAUUCGAGGUCAAACAUAACUCACUCGUGAAUUUCCUCCAAUAAUAGUUGUAUUACGACAAUUACGAAAAAAAGAUGUGUUCUUCUUUCUUCGCGAAUUAAACUCUGAGCUUAACGAAGAGCAAACAAACUCGAUAUAGUAAUUCGAAGGAUGACUCUCUCGCGGAUUUUCCGCGACGUGUCCUUGAAUUACGGAGCAUUCGAGAGAGAGAGAGGUGAUUUUCACAAGCUAGAUUUCAGGGUGGAUAAAGUCACAUCAGUUGAUAAAAUAAUUUGCAGACAAGGACGACUCGCUCGCGACGCAAAUUUGUGCGCGUGGCGCUUUUCCGCCACAGUAAUUUCCGCAAGCGCGCAAGAACGGCGUUAAUCAUGCCAAUUCAUGAUAUCAAUCGAAUUUUAAUAUCCCUCGCCUCAUAAAACUUAUUGAUUAUAAUUGCUACGUGAGAUUCGGGACGCGCAAAGCAUAAAGAAACGUGCGAGUACGACUGACAAAGUGCGAAAAUCGCGCAAAAAAAAUAAACAAAAAUACUUGAAAAUAUUUUUAAAGAAUAAUACUAAAUGAAUAUGUUUCUAUUUUAUACAUGUUAUUAAAUAACAUUUACAUUCAUACAAAUAAUAUAUAAUUAUUUUGUACAGCACAUACUACUUGUAACACUUGCAUGUUUUAUAAUACAUAAUCUAAUAUAAAAAUAAAAAUAUUUUGAUAAAAUGUUGUUGUGUGGAAUUAUAGGCCAAAAUUUUUGUUAGACCAAGAUUUUCGUUUUCAAAUAACUGAAUUUUUUAGCUUUGUCAUUUAUCUCUCGUUA